rnacentral:rRNA from 1 species
GACGAACGCUGGCGGCAUGCCUAAUACAUGCAAGUCGAGCGGAGUGGAUGAGAAGCUUGCUUCUCUGACGCUUAGCGGCGGACGGGUGAGUAACACGUAGGCAACCUGCCUUUCAGUUUGGGAUAACUUCCGGAAACGGAUGCUAAUACCGAAUACAUCCUCUUCUGGCAUCAGAGAAUGAGGAAAGACGGCGCAAGCUGUCACUGAGAGAUGGGCCUGCGGCGCAUUAGCUAGUUGGUGGGGUAAUGGCACACCAAGGCGACGAUGCGUAGCCGACCUGAGAGGGUGAACGGCCACACUGGGACUGAGACACGGCCCAGACUCCUACGGGAGGCAGCAGUAGGGAAUCUACCACAAUGGGCGAAAGCCUGAUGGAGCAAUGCCGCGUGAGUGAUGAAGGUUUUCGGAUCGUAAAGCUCUGUUGCCAGGGAAGAACGUCCGGGUGAGUAACUGCACCCGGAGUGACGGUACCUGAGAAGAAAGCCCCGGCUAACUACGUGCCAGCAGCCGCCGUAA